GGGGGCGAUUCGGAUUCGACGACGGUAUCAAACCCUUAGGUGCAUGCCGUGAUGGCAGCCAAUCACGUAAAUCCAAAGCUGUAUUUUAUUAGUUGCCAACGACGACAACUACGCUCUGGCGGCAUAAGCCCGCUAGCAGUCCUUAGCAAGGUGCCAGUACCGCGCUGAAGACUGUCAUACAGAACUGGAUCGCAACAAAGCACGCCUUGGGC
rnacentral:tmRNA from 1 species